UAUAGCCGACGAGUAUCUUACAUGUUUCGUCGGCUAUAAGUCCAUUCCAGUAAAAAAAAAAUACCUGAAAUUUCUAAAUUAUCAUUCCAAGCAAGCUGCAAAAUACACCAAAACAAUUUCAUACAUAUAACCAACAACAAGCACAUAAAACUAUAUAAUUGAUCAACUACACAAAAUCUAGAUUGUCUAAAUCAAUAUCCGAUUCUGGGGGCUGCUGCUAAGGAGUUUGUGGCGGCUGAGGUAGCGGUAGAGGCGUAGGCAUGGGCGGAGCUGGAAGUCCCUGAAGCUGGGCAGCUGUAAACUCUUGCAAGUACUGGAACAUCUACUGCUGCUGGGCCUACUGGGCGGCAUAUACCGCGGCAGUAUAAGCUCUCUGGUCGGUGAUCUGGGCGACAUGAGUGGUAGCCUGAGCAGCUUGCUGUUCCCGUAGUCUCUCAACUUCCGACUCUAGCUAAGUUGUCCUGCUGCUGGUCGAGGCUGCCUUUCGUUGAAAUCCUGGAGUGGUCUUCAGGACCCCCUCGCCCUUUUUUCCUAAACCCCGGCAGUAGAAGUUGUUUUCUCGUGGUGGGAGGGCUGUGCCCAUUAUCCUCGCUCCAACCCUCGGAUCUGAAGUGUCGAUCCGGGACAUGGCUUCGGACAUCUCUUCCUCUUGCGUGUCAGGCCAUGUCUCCUUCACUAUAGCACUCAUCACCUCGUCACUAGCCUCCCUCACCUUCGCCUAAUUGGAUAGGAAAAAAAUGAUUAAUUAACAUUUUGACAUAUAUAUAAGUAAAAUUAAAAAUUUAAAAACGUAAGAUGACUUACAAUAUCCUCCUAGGCGUCAAGAUAUGCCUUUUCGUACGUAUAGACGUACCGGUUGACUUCUGGAUGUUCCCUGGCCGCCUCGUCCAUGAAGAUAGCGAACGGUCUAGAACCGGCACGAUGGUUCCUUGUGUUGCGUUGCCGGUUCUAAGCGUUCGCCCGGGAAACGGUCUUCAAAGAAAAAAAUAAACUAUUAGUAAAAUAUUUAAAAACGGACGUACUUAAUGACAAAUUAACUAAUUAAUUUUUUUAAAUACAUGUUUACGAGGGUUGUUGAAUUCUGAUGUCAAAAACCAACGCCACUCGUACUCCCUGUACUGGAACUCAGCAGGGGUAUCAGAACGUGCGUUCUCGUGCGUAGUCCAGUGGGUCCACAACUCGUUCUUCCACUCCUUGUACCUACAGAUACAACAAAAAUAUUAGAAAUAUUAUUAAUAUCACAUACAAUUUUGUUUUUUCAUUAACUUCCCAACGUAACUUCCCCCAUGCACAACGUCCGCCCAGCUGUUCUUCAAGUGCUCGGGAACCUCAAACCACCCCUGCAUUUAACCGUUUAUUAGUUUAGUUUUUCGAGAAAUCAACAAUGUAAUACAUAAUAUUAUUGAGGCGUUUUGUAAACUCACCGACAUCGCGUUGUGGACCAUGUCUUUAACCUCAUGCGGGACCUCGCCCCAGUCUGACCACAACAUAGGGACUCUAUCUCUAAUGAGCGCUUCCACGCGGCCGGAGUACGUCCUCGACUUCCCGCCCGAUACUAUGUGGCCAUCCCCGUCAGUACCGAUGACGAUCCUCCUUGUGGUACUGACGGUCUUCUCGAAAGCCUUCCCUGUGACGAGGUCUCUCUUCUUCUUUGUCGGCUUCGCUCCGACGGUGCCUAUCACAUGAUAAACCAAAUUGAUUAUUAAAAUCAGAGACCCUUUAUUAUUAAUUAUAAGAAAACAAAUCAUUCAUCUUUCAUUACCUGAGGGCGAUGCGGCGGACGUGACGGAUUCCGUCUCUGUCGCCGAUGAUGAUACCCUCGCGGAAAUAAGAGGCGUAUCAAAAGGCACGAACUGGUACGCCGUUGAUGGAGCCACUGGCGGGGGCAGUGGAUAAAUCGACGUCCCUGAGCCAUCAACUCCAGGUAAGGCCGGUAUCAUCCGCGGAAGGAACAGAUGAGGCGGCGGCAUCUGUACCCCAUCUGACCCACCAUCCGAAGCAGUAGGACCCGAAGUGGGCGCCCAGUGUAUCUCAAGCAUACGGGGUGCAGACACCUCCGUCUGGGUCUGAGGCCACAGUUGCCUCGAGGAACUAGGGACGACCGGCUGCCUCGAUGAAGGGGACACCUCCGGCUGCCUCGAGGAAUGGGAAACGCUCGGCUGCCUCUGUGUCGUCUCCAGAAGGGUCGCACGUCUGGCUGUCAUGGGGCCUUAAAACGACGUUUGAGGGUUGCUAGAGGUUCCCUUAGACGAUUCAGACCUUUGGCCCUUCGAACCCUUCGUCGAUCUAAAAUUACCGCUCAUCCUGUUUAAAAUAUUAAUUUGAAUCAAGGCUGAGGAAGAAAAGUGAAUUAUUAUAUCUUUUUACUAAAAAGAUAUGUGGAGGUGCCCUGUAGGAGUUAAGGAGUAGAUUUGGGUAGAAUUUUUUUAUUAUAUUCCAAAGAUAACAAGAAAGAUAACAAUCAGCAGAACUCCAAACGUUUAUUACCUCAAUUUUUAAGCACCUAAAAAUCGAUUUACGACAUACCAAUGUCCCAAAUAACCAUGUACUUGCACACAGUUAAUCUCAUUCACAGCACCAAUCAACAAAAUCACUCACAAACAACUGCACAUUCCCUCAACAUUCUAAUGAACCUAAAAAAAGAGACGCUACUAUCCACCAUUCCGAAUUCCACAUCAACACAAAUGCUUAACAAUGUCGCUCUUUGUUUUGCUCUAAUCAUAUAUGUGAAUCACUAAACUAAUUUACUAACUGAUCUAGACUACAUGAAACUUAAUAACGACACACCACACGUAAAUCAUACACAAAAUCAAUAGGCAUCGAAAAUAUCCACAAUAUUUCAGCAACCAUAGAUUAAAACUUGCAUAAUCCAAACCACAAUGAAGUCACACAAACAACAACCAUAAAUAUAUUCAUCAUAAACCAAUCCACAAUAUCAAUACCGCAUAAAAACCCUAAAUUCCCAAAUUCGAAACCCUAGAAUGACAUAUCGAAAUCAAAAUCAGAGGAUUACACCACCUGGCGAGCGACGAGUAGGUGAGCAAGUAGAGCAGGUGGAGCCGGUGGAGCAAGCGAGCAUGAGAGGGAGAGGGCAACCAGGAGAGGGAGACCGGGAGAGGGAGAGGGCGACCGGGAGCGCGGUGAAAGCUCGCGGAGGCGGAGGUGGACCGGGCUUUAGGGUUUUUUCGUCGCUCUGUGGAGGCUGUCGAGCGCUGGGUUUUCUACGGUCCCGAUACCUUUAGCCGACAAAAUACUUACUUCGUUGGUUAACAUUUGAAAUUCGUCGGCUAAAAUUUGAAAUUCGUCGGCUAACCUUGAAUUUCGUCGGCUAAACCUAUGAAAUUCAUCAGCUUAAUCUUGAAAUUCGUCGGCUAACCCUUGAAAUUCGUCGGCUUACUUUUUAUACAUUCGGCACAUUGUGAUUGUGAUGAUCAAACUUGAGAAACGAAAAUCCGACCGUCAGAUCUGACCAUCAUGAUAAAAUACAUGUAUAGGAAAAAAUUCAACUUGAUCGGACAAGGUUAAGGGCUCGAUCCGGAAGGUUAAUCUGUUAAGUCAAACCCCUAAACUCACAGAACAGGUCAUUGGACCGUCUAAAUUACGUAUUUUGGCCGGAUUUUCAACUGAAAAUAGUUUCAAACCGAUGAGACGCAACAAGUCGUAUAAAAAUUUUACGGAAAAUAACCACCGAAGAUAAGGCUACCCAUAGGGAGAAAGAAUGGAAAAUUGCAUUGACCGCAACUAUCGUCACAUAGACUUUACCGGAAUACCGUGAUUUUUCAACCGUAGACGUAUUUCACCAUUCUAGUCAUAUCUUAUUUCACGACUUUUUUGCGUUUAAAGGAUCUACGUAUAGUUUGUUUUUAAAAUGGAACAUUUACUAAACACUUGGUAAACAAGUUAUACAACAUUAGUAGGCAUGUCGUGGUUGUGAUGAUCAAACUUGAGAAACGAAAAUCCCACCGUCAGAUCUGACCAUCAUGAUAAAAUACAUGUAUGGGAAAAAAUUCAACUUGAUCCGAUGAGGUUAAGGGCUCGAUCCGGACGGUCAAUCCCGUAAGUCAAACCCCUAAACACACGGAAAAGGUCAUUGGACCGUCUAAAUUACGUAUCUUGGCCGGAUCUUCAACUGAAAAUAGUUUCAAAUCGAUGAGACGCAACAAGUCGUAUAUUAGGAUAUUCGUCGGCUAAGGUUUAGGGUUUAGGGUUUAGAGUUUAGAGUUUAAGGUUUAGCCGACAAAAUAUUAUGGUAUUUAUCGGCUAACCUCAUCUUAGCCGACGAAUUAUGGUAUAUUUUGUCGGCUAAAGUAUAAAAAAUACAUUAAAAAAAUAGAAGGUUUAAUGUAAACCAUACUAACUUCAUGUUCAUAUAUCACCAAAAUUCAUAUAAAAUAACAGAAAUAUGAAUUCAACAUAUGUAAACUAUAAAGGUAAUACAUUCUUUUUUAUUACAAAUUAAUGUAAUUAUAAUUAAAACUAAGGCUCGUAAUCGGAAUCAUCCGAUGAGUCUUCUUUGGUGUCAGAAUUAAUUUCUGGUAAUCUAUGCAUUUCCUCAUCGCCAGAGUCUUCGUCUGUUUCUUGAUUUGGAUCAACAUUAAUAAGCCUUGGCUCUUCAUCACGAAUUCGCACCGAACGACCCGCUUUAAAAUUAUUAAGGCGAACGGUAGAGGAGUUUGGAAUACCUAUUGCGCUGGGCUCUUAAUACGCAACAUUUUCUUCCUCGUCUUCGGCCUCUUCAAGUGCAGCCGCCCGGUAAAUGUUACGAGGGUGUACAUGGUUGACUACUUUCCACGCGUCACCCUUAGCAAGGUCAUCAAGAUAAAACACUUAUUUUACCGAUGUGGUAAAAACGAACGGGUCAUCUUCGUAACAAUUUGUAGCAGUAUUCACCGAUAAUAUUCCGUACUGAUCGGUCUUUAUGCUCUGCGGCCUAGUAUCAAACUAUCUACACUUGAAGAGGUGCACUGUCAUGCCUUGCCCAUAAACGAGUUCCACCACUGAAUGGAGAACACCGUAAUAGUCAACUCUAUUCCGCCCUCCAUGCGCCAUCACCCCAGAAUUCUGUGUUCUCCGUCUGCUGUCUCUCUGUUCACAUAUAAAUUGCACGCCAUUCACCUUGCACAUCAGAUAAACUCUUGACAUUAUCGGCAUCAUCGCUAGAAGUCUUAGUUCGUGAGACCAAUUUGGGUGACCAUCAAAUUGAAUAUGGUUCAUCUGCAACCAAACAUUCAACUGUAAAUAUGGAUAGUUAUGCAAUAAACAUAAAUACGUACAGAAAUAUUGAAUUACAUACCCAGCCGCCAAAAUAGUUUGCGAACUCCCUGUUGUGGUACUCAAGAUCAUCUUGAAUGUCUGGACAAUAUAGAUGGAUGUCUUUCCAGUAUUCAACUUCUGGACAGUUAAUCAAUACCCACCAGUGGGUAAUGACUAGCUCAUGUGGUUGCAACUUGUAGGAGUCUGGCAAAACUCCAUAAACUUCAACAUCACUAGAGAGUAUGGAAAGGUUGAACCCGUCAGAUGAGAGCCCGAGCCUCACAUUUCGGAUCUCUGACGCAAAAUGAGGAAACUCCCUGUCUAUAUGCUUCCAAGCCUCCCCGUCAGCAGGGAGUAUAAGGGUAUCUUCAUCAUGCAAUUCCCUAUCAGCGUGCCAUCUCAUAGCUUCGGCCGUGUGUGAAGACAUGUACAACCGCUCCAGCCUAUCCCUCAACGGGAAAUACUGAAGUACCUUCACAGGUUUCCUAUUGCCUGCAGGAGUCAGCUUAUAGCUGUCAGUGUGACAUACCGGACAUGCGUCAAGGCCACCAAGGUCAUUCCCUUCUGGAUCUUUACCCUAGAAGAGAACGCAGUCAUAUCUGCAUGCAUGGAUCUUGAUGUAGGAAAGCCUAAGAUCUUUCAGGAUACAUCGGACCUUAUGAUGAGUGGUAGGAAGACGAUGACCGUGAGACAGUAUCGAAGCAGUGUACUGUAGAUAAUCAUCAACAGCCUUCACGGUCGAUUUGUCUCAACUUUAAUCUUCAUUAUGUCCAUCACAUUUUCAAGAACUGUCUUCUGAUAACCGGGGUACACAAGGGUCUGUUGGAAAGCAAGCAGUUUGUUGUACUUGUCAAUACCAGCAGUGUUGACAACUCUAGGGAAGGGCUGCAUCGGCUCAGGCAUAUACUGUCCUUGAGCGCCUACACCGCUCUCAUAAGAAAACAUGUCGUUGAUGAAGGCCGUUGUUGGAUCGUUGGAUGUACUGCCCGUCUCAGAAAAUUGCUCAUGAUCAUGCGGACCCCCUGAUGAUGUUUCACCGUGAUAUAACCAACAUGUGUACUUCUCCCAAAACCCGUUACUCUUCAGGUGCUGCCAUACUUUGUUAAUCGCAAAUCGAUGCAUAUGGCUGCGACACUGACAUUUCGUGCACGGGCAAUAGAAAAUUGUAUUCCCGUUAGCAUUAGCCAGCGCAUAUUCCAUAAAACUCAUAACUCAUUUACCAUAUCUUUUGUCCCAUUUUGGAAGCGAAAUCGAACUCUUAUCCAUAUCCAGAAAAUAUAACAAAAUAUAUAUGUAUAACUCUAGCUAAUUAUUAAUUAAAUUCCAUAUAUAAAAUUUCAAUUCAUUUAGUAUUCUACGUACUACAACUAAUUAAUAACAAAUUAAUUAACACAUAUAUAUACUUAAUAAUUACAUAACAAUAUUAUAUAUCAACAUCAUCAUCAACUCAUAUCAUCAACAACUUCAUACCGUCAACACAAUAUUAUAAAUUAAUUAACAUAUAUAUAUGUACUACUUAUUAACAACAACUUCAUAUAUAUUAUCAAAUCAUCAACCAAAUCGAUCAACUCAAUCACACCCAAAAUCGAUCAACUCAAAUAAAACUCAAAAUCAACAUAAAUACACAUGUAUGUACCUAUAUAUAGCUCCACAAACUAAUUAUGGACAGAUUUCGACAACACCCAAACUUUUUCUCCCAUUUUUUCUUCUCCCGUUUUUUUUUCCCAGAUGAGCUGCUGUCCAGAUCUGCAAAUAUAAGGCACUUUAGCCGACGAUAUUUUAAGUUCGUCAACUAAAUAAUUUUAAAGUCGUCGGCUAAAGUUCACAUACUAUAGCCGACGAAAAAAAUUCUUUAAGCCGGCGAAAAUUUAAUUUCGUCGGCUAUGGUCCACUUUAACCGACGAAAAAAUAGUUCGUCGGCCUGGUUUUUUUAUUUUCGUCAGCUAAAGCCUUUUUCCUGGUAGUGACAUAAAAUAUAAGAAAAUAUAAUGAUCGAUAAAUUUAUUAAAAUAAUUAUGAAGUUGUAUAACUUUUUCUUUCCGUUGUUAUAUGCAUGUGAUAUUGUGUUCACCAGAUCAGCCACCACACUGUUGGAUGUAGAUCUAAUACUGAGGAGAAUAAUAAUUAUGGGUUGUUUUGUUUCUCGCAGUUAGAUCGAUUUACAUUCAUUAACGGUUGAGUAUUAUUUUGUUAGUUAAUAACUGUUCGGGUGAAUAUAUUUUCAUGGACACCUAAUUGAUCAUGGAAGAAAUUAGGAAUCUUCUGAGUCAGUGACACCACACACCUGAUAUCUUUUUAAUCGAGAGCAACGAUUGAUCACAAACAUAAUACUUCAAGUGAACAUUGAAUAACUAAUUAUAUUAAAUUAUAAAUUAAUCCAGUGAUUCAGAAACAUGCCAACUUGAACAAAUUGCGCUCUAAACUAUUAUGCUUAUUAUACUAUAGAAUGUGGUAUGGUUUGAUGCAAGAAGUUGAGAACAAUGUAACGUACUAUCUCAAUGUAACGUACAGAUAGUACAUAACUAAUCUUGUUCCAAAAGUAUAUAUAUUCUGGACCUAUGGUCCAUAAGAAUACAACUUGACCAAUAAAGCGUGACUUUACCUUCUAGCUACUCCAUCGGCAAAGAGGAAGUCAGGAAGAUGCCACUCUAGUUUGGCAUUGGGUUUGAAAAGGGAAUCACUACUGGAAAAUAGCACUUAAACGACGGAAUUAAAAAAUUUCGUCUCUUUAGUGGUAUUUAAGCGACGAAAUUUUCUAUUUAAGAGACGAAACAGUUUCUGUCUCUUAAAUUGUUCUUAGGAGACGAAAUAUUUUGAUUUCGUCUCCUAAGAACGACUUGGGAGACGGAAUGCUUAAGUACUACUUAGAGACGGAAUAUUUUUACUUAGACAACGGCAUUUUAAAAAAAUAAAAAUUUAUAUGAAUCACUUAGGAGACGGAACUACAUUUCGUAACACCACCAUAAAGUUUUGCCCCUCAGCCCUGUCGACAGAGGUGACGAUGCACCACGAGCCUCCACCCCCCAAAAACAACAUCGGAGGUCAAAAGUUUUUGAAAGACAAGGUUGAGAACUCCAUCGAAGAAAGCAGACGGGUCUCACAGAGAAUAGGAUGAAAGAUGGAGACCGGAAUGAGAAGAGAGGUAUCCACCAGUCCGAGUCGCAAUCAAGAAAAUCUGGGGCUAGUCUCGUCGUUUCAUAGAGAACCUCUGAUCUCAUUUAAUUAAAACAUUCUAGCUAGACUACUUCUAACGCCUUCACCUUUGUAAUGAGAAACAUCUCCAUUUACCAUAUAAUAGUGAAUUACGGAUUAACGUUGUAUUUUGGAAGUCCUACUUGAGUAUGUUGUAUGUUAUAUUGAAUAUUUUUUUAAUGAGGACGCUGUCAAGCUCCAAUGACGUAUUGCUAAAUUAAAAUUUUAAUAUAAAUAUUACAGUUUAUUGUAGUUUAUCAUUAAAGGGGGAUGAAAUAUCAAUGACAUUAUACAAUAUGUCACACGUACGUACUGUUCUAUUUUAAUCAUAAUGGUUUGAAUUAUUUGUUUCCCAAGAUUGGUCAUGUGAAGAAGCACACACAAACAUGCGGUUGGGAAGCAAAUAGUAAAUAUAGGAUUGAUUUUUUUUUUUUUUUUAAUCAAAAGGUCAUACGAUUUAAAUCAGAGCAAGCAGUAUAAAGACGACGUACCCUUGUAGGGUCGUCAGAAAACAUCGUCUUGCAGAAUUGCAAGUCCUAUACUAGAUAAAGCAUAAGCUUUGAAAUCCUAAGUACACCCACCUUAUAGCAAUUAAGCACAAUUAUUUUACAGGUAAAACUAGGUUUCGGAGAAAACUAUCAAGACUCUUCGAAAAUCACUAGUUACCUGGACCAUAACUUAUUCUAAAUUAGGGGCCAAAGCCCAAAUUCAUCCGCCAGAGCCUAAUCAGAUGAAACCCUAGCUGAUGCAGCCCAAGGCCAAACAAGCCCAACUUCUAGAGAAGCCUUGAGAGAAACCCAAGCAACCUUCAUCUUCUCCCCGCCGUCAUCACCAUCAGAUAGUAGCGGCGCCGUUGGAACAAAAUUUAGAAUCAGAGCCAAAGCACCACCAUCCUCCCUAACAACGGAAAUAUGGUGAAUACCUGGUUCAUGCCCUCUUGCCGAGAUCUGAGACGCAAAGAUCUGAAUUGAGGGCUCCCAACUGCAGCCAAACAAGCCACCACCGAGUGCUCCAAUCCUCUUCAACGUUCCCAUUCCAUCCCAAGCCACAAGUCAAUCGGCCUGUAUUGUUUCCUCCCUUGUAUCAAACCCAAAGGCAAGAACAAAAAGAGAACAACCAAGACCUUUGUUUAGGAGAUUCUGAUGAACAAAGCCGCCAUCACCAUCACAAGUUGGACUCGACAUCCACCACCGCCCAUAUAAGGCACGAUAGAGCCAUCCAUCACUGCCUUUGAUUGGAGAAAAAGAGACUGGAGAAGAGAUCUCUUUCCUCAUCAAAAGAGAAUUAUCGUUGCCCGUCAGUUUGGGAGUUUUGUCGACCGCCGCCGCCGAGUAAAACCCUAGCAGAGCUAGGGAGAGAGACAUCUUAACCCUUGAAGAUGUUGGUUGUAAAUAUAGGUAUUGUAUUUUCGCGUAUCACUUAGAGUAACUUCAACAGAAUCUGUAUAAUAUAUGUAUUAUAUAGAGAAGCCAAAGUCAAAAUCUUGAGAAGUUUUUUGCUCCAACUUUACAGAUUUGUAUUUAUUACAAUAAUAAAAUAUUCUACGUCCCUACUACAUGUAAAGCGAAAAUAAAAGAAACGCUAUUUUUUCUUCUUAAGCUUCUGCUCGCAUUUGAUUAGCAAUGAAGCUAAUAAAACAUUUUUGAUCUAGAGGAGAAAUACUCUUGUUCUUCUCCCCCCACCUAGGAUGCUGGGAAGGGUGGCUCCUGGCCCAAUUAAAAGGGUGAGUGGGGCAGUGACUAGUCAAGAAGGGAUCGGUGCAGCGCGGUGGAUGGCGUUGGUGUGGGGCACGCGGUGGUGGAAGCUUCUAGGCUUCCCAGAUUACAGGUGGUUGUUGGCGGUCCAAAGUUUGUCUAGAUCGAAGACAGAGAGUCCGGUAUGCCUUAGGGAAGUCUGGAUAUGCACAUCGGGGUCGACGGGUUGCUGCAUAUGUUCUUCGGGUUGGACGGUGUGAGAUUGAGAUCAGUGUCUCAAUCGUUUGGUCAAGGAACGGAGCUCAGGCUUCAGAUGGGGACGACAUCGGCCGAUGUGCAACGAUGUAGACUUCGAGUUGGCAAAUGAGCCAAAUCAACCUCUAAGCAUGGGCUUAGGGUUGGUUCGACUUUUUAUUUUACCUUUAGGUCAUUUUCUUUAUCGCAUAAUAAAUUUGGGUAAUUGUACUAAACAAGGCGUCAUUCCGCAUACUCUACAAUGUAGUGUGCAUGAUGACAUUAUCAGUGAUCUGCCCUAGCUUUAAAUCAAGCCAACUUGAUGGCUCUUUAUUUAAAAUCAUUUAGGUCUUUUAAUUCUGUUAACAUUUUAUUUUAUUUAUAAUGUAACCGUCAUGUUUAUUUCGAUUUAAUAAAAGUUUUCUCUUAUACAGUUACGCUCAAGGUUCAAACAUGAUUAAAGUUUGCUCUUAUACGGUUAACUUCAAUUUUGAUGAUUAUGUAGUAACACUGUUUGAAAUUCAUAAUAUUCGAUGAAAAGAAUUCCUUUUCCUAUAAAAGAAAUCAAAUGGAUUAAUCAUGAGUCCAUGACCAUGUUGGAUUAUAUUGGAUUAAUACAAAUCUAAAAACAUGUCCAAAUGUCUAUGUUUAUAAUGUUCUUAAUUUGUAGUUUUGGCUGUCUUUUGGGUAAAGAGACACUGGAAUGUGUGCACCUGCUAGAUUGCAAGUGCCUCAAGCACCCGCCAAGUUAGGUCACCAAGGAGGCGCUAGCAAAGCUAGCACGUGUACGCGUCACACAUCGUUUAGGAAAGACAAGUUGUUGUGUUUUAUAUGCGGAGUCAGCUCAUUACAUUGAGACGCGUUUUGAGGUCAAACCUGACAUUAUGUAAUGUUUCAUCAAGUUUGCUUGAGGUGACCUACACCAAGGUAUAAUCUGGGGCAGAAUACGAAAUGAUUCUAAAACCAGUUAUUUGUAACAAAUCAUUAAUAAUGUCAUCAUGCACACUACUUUAAAGAGUAUGUGGAAUGACGCCUUGCUAUGUACGGUUACCUAAGUUUGCUCUUAUACGGUUACGCUCGAGGUUCAAAGAGCAUUAGUAUCAACAACAAAAAAGAUCAAAGAGCAAAUUGUUUUAUGUGUACAACGAAAGAGAGUCAUCAAUAUUAAUAGAAUACUAUACAAAGCACUUGAUAUUAUUCGAUCCCAAUAAUGAUGUCCCCCAUUUGGCCAAUUUGGGGCCAUAGACACCUUCCAAAGAGAAAUAACAGUAACUUAACUUGUUAGGUUUUACCUUUCACUUCUAGUCUUAAACUCCUGAUCUUAAUUACCAUGCAUGCAUGAAUUAAUAACAUUCCAAUACAUAGAUAAGAGAUCAAUCGAAACCGUUUUAUAGAAGAAAAUAAAAGUGACGAUCUAUUACUAAUUUAGGUCUUCUUUUUGCCGAAUUGAAAAAGUAUCUUCUAAUUAUUGAAAUAAAUUUAGAUUUGUUUAUUAGGAGCCUCUCUCUCUCUCUCUGCUAGGGGUGGUAGAGCGUCGCCUCUGGCCUCUCGGAAAACCUCUCCAUCUUCGAUAGAUACCUCUGCAGUGUCAUCCUAGGCAUCUCUCAUCUUUAAUAUGUGAGCUGCUUUAUCCACAAGGAAAUCAAAGGCCUAUUUUGGGCGGUUGGAGAAGCAACGGCUCGAUAACAAUAUAAGAAGUGGUGGGCAGCUUGACGGUGAUCCACCGGUCUUGGCUGGCUGUGGUUUAACUGAGAGGGACAGAGGCGGAGAGCCCCCAUUCUUGAUUUUUUUUCUUUUUUCAAGUUUGGGUGAAAUUCUAAUGAACAUACAAAACCUAAGUUGCAACAAACAAAAUUAAUAUAAUUAGAUCUGCUCUUCAUAAACAAACUUGGGAUUUGCGAUCCCAAUCCCAAGUAAGAUCGGUUCAGGAUCAUGGGAUCCUUUUUUAUCAAAUAAGGAAGGGUCGUUGCACAAAAUUUACUUCUAAGUAAUUGCUCCAUAGAUCCUAUAUCUAUCUAUAUGAUGAAGAAAUCAUGUAACGAGGGGGUUAUUAUUUGUACAAAUGGUACUUCGAACUUAGAACAAGUAUGAAGAAAUUAACGAUACUUCUUUAUCUUUUGAGUUGUUCUGCCAGAUCAGUCGCUCAAGACCUUUGGUUUCUACCCAAAAAAAACUGGAUUACUUCAUAUGGACUUGUUCAAAAAUGGUAAAACCAUUAGUGCUUUCUCUUUAUAAUUUUUUACUCUUAACAAAAAAAUGUUAGAAGUCUAAAAAUCAUAUCAAACUCAUGCAAACUAAAAACAUUAUGUAUUCAAAUCUAUCUAAAAUAUCUAACUCCCUUUCUUUUUUUUCUUUUGAGAAUGAAAGGAACUUUUAUUCAUCAAGAAAACCAAAUUACAAACUAUGGGAACUAUCAGUGGAAGACUUAGAAGUCCCACUUGUUUCCCUACUACUACAUAUAGUUACGGGUCUAUCACCAUUGAUGACAUCCAUGAGCCAAUCGGGCCCAACCCCUAACCAGAAAUGAUGCCCCUCUAACCGGGAUACUCUAGUUGCCCUAGAAUGUGCCACACAAUUCGCACCUCUUGGAACAUAACAAAUCUCCUGCAGACCAAUACUAGUUAACAAAGAUGAUUUUUUCAACCAAAUAUCUAACUCCCCUUGAUGCAAGCAUACCAACUGAAAAAUCUCUUUGUCAAAGAGGUUGAAACCGAUGACAUCACUUCCUUCUGUUCUACCUUGUCCUCCUUCUUAGGCUCAACAGGUUACACAACACCACCACCACGAUAUGCAUGUAGAGGCACCCACAGCCACCUCGCCCCCGUCAGAGAGCAUGCAUAAAUGCUGAGUCAUCCCUUCCAGGUGCAAUGAUCUCAGUGAUGUAUAUAUACUUUUUCAAAUAAGGACCUAUCUACCUUAGUUAAGGUACGGAUUUUCUUAAUUUGACCAACUUUCUGAUCAUAUUUUCUCAUCAUAGUCGUUCACUAUUUAGAUAUACAUGACUUGAUCAUUUAUAAAAAAUUUCAGCUAAUUUGGUUAUCGUUAAGGUAUCGAAAAUGUAUUAAAUCAAUGAAUGAACCGAAUCUGUUCAUCCUGAAUCAUACGUUCUAUUAGUUCUAAAUCAUAGUUUUAAAUGCCUUAAUGAUUAUCAAUUUGGCUGAAAAUUUAUUGAGAUGAUCUACUCAUAUAUACCUAAAUUUUGAACGGUUGAGAUGAGAAAAUAUGAUCGAAAAGUGGGUCAAAUAAUGAAAUCCGUACUUUAUCCAAGGUAAGGAGGUCCUUACCUGAUAAGCAUUAUAUAUAUAUAUAUAUAUAGAUAUAGAUAUUAGCAUGUCCAAAUAUCCGUAUUUAUUCAAAAGGUAUGGAUUUUCUUAAUUGACCCACUUUUAGAUCAUAUUUUCUCAUCUUAACCAUUCACAUUGUAGGUAUAUAUGAGUAGAUCAUCUCUACAAAUUUUCAGCCAAAUUGAUAAUCUUAAGGUAUUGAAACUAUAUGAUUACAAUGAACAAACCAAAUCUGUUCAACAUGAACCGUUCGUGUAAUUCACAAUUUUGAAUACCUUAAUGAUUAUCAAUUUGGCUAAAAUUUUGUAGAGAUGAUCUACUCAUAUAUACCUAAAAGAUGAAUGAUUGAGAUGAGAAAAUAUGAUCGAAAAGUAUGUCAAUUAAGAAAAUCCGUACCUUUUGAAUAAAUACGGAGGUCCGUAUCUGAAAAGACUUAUACACACACACAAUUAUUAUCAUGUCCAAAUAUUCUUAUUUAUUCAAAAGCUACGGAUUUUCUUAAUUGACUCAUUUGUAGAUCAUAUUUUCUCAUCUUAACCGUUUACAUUGUAGGUAUAUGUGAGUAGAUCAUCUCUACAAAUUUUCAACCAAAUUGAUAAUCGUUAAGGCAUUCAAAGAUGUGAUUUGGAACUAAAAAUAUGAACGGUUCAGGUUGAACAGUUUGAUUUAAUUCAUUACCGAUACCUUAACGAUCUCUAAAUUGACUGAAAAUUUGUAGAGAUGAUCUACUCAUAUAUACCUAUAAUGUAAACGGUUAAGAUGAGAAAAUAUUAUUGAAAAGUGGGUAAAAUUAAGAAAAUCCGUACCUUUUGAAUAAAUAAGGAUGUUUGAAUCUUAAAAGGCUUGUGUGUGUGUGUGUCCAUUCCCUUGAGUUUCGACAACCAAAACUAAAUCUUAUUGCUCUUGGCCUCAGCUCCAAUGGAGGCAAGAAUGGUCUUCAAGUUCUUGGCAAGGGACAAAGUUGCCGCCCAAAACAACGAGCCUAUACACGACAACCGAAAAUUCUUCUAUGCACCAAGGUGCAAGUGAACCUAGUAACUAAUAUGCAGUAUUUUGAUCCGGUUAUCUACGUCGCACUACAUGCAUAUAUACUAAUAUCGUUAACAUAAUUGAAACCCAAAAAAAUAGUCUCAAGUGUUUCCAACUAAGAAGAUGAGAACACAAGGUCGAAGAAGAUAUACUAUUAUUAUGGGCGUUGAAUUUGAUCGAAUCAAAAUUGAAAUUGAAAGAAAGGAACUUAGGGUCUCUAGUAUUCAUUCAAUCUUCUCAUACGGCGAUUUGAGCACUUAAACAUUAAUGGUGUAAAUGUAUCUUAGUGCGUAGAAUCUGCUUCCCACGACAACAACCUUCAUCGUUACUCUCUAAAGCUAGGGAUCAUACACGUGCGGUGGUAGAUGGAGGCUCGAUAAAGGAUUUUUAUUGUCCAUACAAAAAUGGAGAGCUUGACAAAGCUUUUUAUUGUCCCUAACAAAACGAAAAUUGUAAAUAAUUUUGCUUUAUGUGAUUUUUUUUAUCGAAUAAUAAUAUUCCUUUUCAAAAGAUAUACACAUGUCUAAAUGGAGAAAUUCUUCCAUACAACAUCCUUACCAUGUGGCUUGUGUGACCACCAAAUCGCAGAGUGACACGUGGCACUUUUUUGUCUACUUCAGCAAUGGUUUUUCUUCUUGGGAAAAUGCCCAUUUAGUCAAAAACAAUAAACACAAACCCCAUUCCAAUGAAAAUCUUUUGUCAUUUAGUCAAAAAGAAUAAACACAAACCCCAUUCCAAUGAAAAUCUUUUGUCCAAGCCCAUUCUAAUGAAUUUAAAAAAUAAGACGUUUAUAUCCUUAGUAAUCAAAUACACCAUAUCUCUCUCCCUCUCUCUUUUCCCGUCCCUCACUCUUCUCCAGAUCUAAAACUCUCUCUCUCAUCCCUCAGAUCAAGAAGCCUCUUGCUGGUCUCGUCGCUGGCAGCGUUGGCACAGCGGUAGGAAACCCGGCCGAUGCGGCUCUGUUCCCCUAGGUAUUGUCCUCCUCCUCAAUCCUUCGCCGACAGCGUCUGACGGAACUCUUCGAUUUGGGAUCGAUCUGUUGAUAGCGUUUCCGUUUAGAGUGACAACCUCACUCUCCGCCUAGUCCGCCACCAUCGUCAAGUCUCCCACCGGACAUCCCUCCUCUUUUGGCUACGACAUCGUCUGUGUCUUUUUUCUUUUCUUUUUUGGUUGCGUCCUUCUUUUUUUUUGUUGCGUUUUGGUAUGAAUUGUUGAGUUUUGGUAUGAAUUGUUGAGCCUGAAGUUUUGCAUUUGACUAUUACAUUGCGUUUAGUUCAUCACAUAUGCAAAUAGUUAGCAUGAACGGCAAAUAGUUAAACUUCUUUUUUCAUUUUUUUUCUUUCAUUGCAUUUUGAUUAGUUUCUCUAUUAAUAAGCUUUGUUUGGGGUCAGCAACUCAGGCCAAUCUUGAUUAUUGGGGGUUAUUGUAGAUUAUUGGGGUCAGUAACCUUUUUAAGGAAUCUAUAACUCGGUUAUUAGGGGUCGGUACCUCAGUUAUUGGGGGUCAGUAACUGAUUAUUGGAGGUCAGUAACCAAUUUAUUAGGGGUCAGUAACUGAUUAUUGAGGUUCAGUAACUAAUUUAUUGGGGGUCAAUACUGAUUAUUAAGGGUCAGUAACCAAGUUAUUGGGGGUCAGUAACCGAGUUACCGGUGACCGAAAUCCGACGACCAGAGAAAAUCUGAGUUACUAGGGGUCAAUAACUGGUGACCGAAGAAAUUCGGGCGAUCGGUGACCGGAGUCCGGCGACUAGUGACUGGAGUCCGGUGAGGUUCCCGGCAGAGUCUUCUCACUUUUUCACUUUCUCUCUCCUUAUAUAUGUUGAAGUGGUGAGGGUAAAAUUGUCUUAAAAAUAUACAAAAAUUAUUAUUUUAUUAUGUCUUUAAUAUAGAUUUGUAUAUUUAGGCAUAAAUAAGAACACCUUAUAUUGGAAUGGGCUCAUGUCUAUUAAAUUCAUUGGAAUGAGCAAUAAAAGGUUUAAAUUAGUACUAAAUUGACAUUUUCCAUUUUUUCUUUCUUUUUUCUUCUCUUGCGAAAUACUUCACUGUGUUUCUUUUCAUCUCUCUUCCUCUUCGUUUCCACUUUUCAAACUAUCUCUCCUCUCUAAUAAUCGAUCUGCAACACAACAAAUCAAGAAGUUGAAUAUCACCCUUAUCACGUCAUAAGCCAGAACAGACAGACCGCACACACUACCAGGACAAGCAUUUUAGCCGACGAAAAAUUUUCGUCGGCCUGUCAGCUUAAUUCGUCGGCUAAGAUCUUAGCCGACGACCUUUCGUCGGCUAAGAUUUCUUCGGGAAAAGGUCGUCUAUGGUGACUUUAGCCGACGACACAUGUAGAAGUCGUCGGCUAUAGUCCAGAGUUUAGCCGACGAAAAAAAUGUCGUCGGCUAUAGUCCAAACUUUAGCCGACGAAACAUUUAAGGUAUUUGUCGGCUAUAGUCUAGAGUUUAGCCGACGAAAAACAUGUCGUCGGUUAUUUCUCCGACUUUAGCCGACGAAUAAUUUAAAAUAUUCGUCGGCUAACGUUUGUAAUAAAAAAUAAAAAACAUCUAUAGCCGACGAAAUAUAGUCUAUUUCGUCGGCUUUAUAGGGAUUUAGCCAACGAAUUAAAGCGUAUUUCGUCGGCUAAAACUUAUUUUAAAAAAAAAUAAAAAACUUUAGCCGACGAAUUAAGGAGUUUUCGUCGGCUAUAAGUCCAUUCCAGUAAAAAAAAACCCCCGAAAUUUCUGAAUUACCAUUCCAAGCAAGCUGCAAAAUACACCAAAACAAUUUCAUAUAACCAACAACAAGCACAUAAAACUAUAUAAUUCAUUCAUCAACUACAGAAAAUCUAAAUAGUCUAAAUUAAUAUCCGCUUCUGGGGGCUACUGCGGAGGUUGCGACGGCUGGGGUAGCGGUAUGGGCGGAGGCAUGGGCGGAGCCGGAAGUCCCUGAAGCUGGGCAGCUGUAAAGUCCUGCAUGUACUGGAACAUCUGCUGCUGCUGGGCCUGCUGGAUGGCAUGUAUCUCGGCAACAUAGGCUGCCUGCGCGGCAUUAUAGGCUGCCUGCGAGGCAUUAUAGGCAGCCUGAGCAGCUUACUGUUCUCGUAGUCUCUGAACUUCCGACUCUAGCUGAGUCGUCCUGGUGGUCGUGGACGUGGUCCUGCUGCUGGUCGAGGCUGCCUUUCGUUGAAAUCCUGUAGUGGUCUUCAGGACCCCCUCGCCUUUCUUUCCUAGACCCCGGCAGUAGAAGUUGUUUGCUCUCGGUGGGAAGGCUGUGGUCAUGAUCCUCGCCCCAAUCGUCGCAUCCGAAGUGUCAGUCUGGGACAUGGCUUCGGACAUCUCUUCCUCCUGCGUGUCCAGCCAUGUCUCCCUCACUAUAGCACUCAUCACCUCGUCACUAGCCUCCCUCACCUUCGCCUAAUUGGAUAGGAAAAAAAUAAUUAAUUAACAUUUUCACAUAUAUAUAAGUAAAAUUUAAAAUUUAAAAUUUAAAAACUUAAGAUGACUUACAAUAUCCUCCUGGAAGUCAGGAUAUGCCUUCUCGUACGUAUAGACGUACCGGUUGACUUCUGGAUGUUCCCUGGCCGCCUCGUCCAUGAAGACAGCGAACGGUCUAGAACCGCCAUGAUGGUUCCUUGUGUUGCAUUGCCGGUUCUGAGAGUUCGCUCGGGAAACGGCCUUCAAAAAAAAAAAAAUUAUUAGUAAAAUAUUUAAAAACGGACGUACUUAAUGACAAAUUAACUAAUUAAUUUUUUAAAUACCUGUUUACGAGGGUUGUU
rnacentral:lncRNA from 1 species